AUUUUUCCUCCCUAGAAACGUGAACUCCUUCCUCCAUCUUUCUCUAUCAUAUUUCUUCUUCUAGUUUUGUUAAGUUCGUCGGCAAUCGGGCAUGUAAUCGGUGAAAUAUUACUAAAUCAAGGCAAAAGAGCCAAUCUUAUGAAGUAGACACAGAAUGGAAUUGGAAGAUCGAAUAUCAUGGUGAAUUAGGCGAAUGUUCUUAAGCUUGCAAGGUAGCCUUACCAUGAACUAUAAUUCCUUAAUGUGAACGACAUGAACUAAAUGUGCAAUAAUGUAUGUUAUUGUGUGAAAAUAAUUGAAUCUAUGGGGAUUUUCAUAUGUUAUUAAACGAGUUCAGUGUUAUAAUGUGGUUAAACACAUGAUUAGAGCAUGUUGCUCGUGUUAUUCUAUGUGAUACCUACAUAUAUGUUAUUACAAGACACAAAUGAAAUUACUAUAAAAUUUACUAAUCCAAUGUGAAAGUCUGGUGAAUAAAUGAUGGUGAAUAAAUGGUAAAUAUGUGAUUCUAUGAUGAGAUUAGAAAUAAUAUGUUAUGAGAGGUAAUAACAUGUGUUGGUGUGAUAAGUGAUUACAUGAAUUUGAUAAGAAGAUGAAUAUUAUUGUGGCUGGAAAGUUGAUUAGAGAAAUGUGGAAAUGGGUGUCCCUGAGGCUAUUCAUGUAAUAGGAUCGCCUUUAGUAGAAUUAUUACGCGGAAGUGCUAGUGUGGGACAAUCCACCUUAACUCGCUUUUAUAGUUUACACACUUUUGUAUUGCCACUUCUUACUGCUAUAUUUAUGUUACUGCACUUUCCAAUGAUACGCAAACAAGGUAUUCUAGUCCUUUACAAAGAAGAUAUAGAAUAGAUAUUUGCAACCAAUCAUUUCUCACUUAGAGGACUGAUAGGAUUUUAUAUAUAAAUAUAAAUAUGAUCUAUAUGUGAUGAUGUCUGAUCUGUGUUGAACUGUUGAACAUGAUUAUAUGUUUGAACAUGAUUAUAUGUUUGAGCUAUCUUGCUGUAUUGAUGUGUUAUGUCGGAAAUUGUCAGAAAUAAAGUAAGUAUACUUGACUGUUUACGCCCCCGUGCUUGAGUGUGUUCUAUGGGUACAAUUGGCAUGCCACAAGACAGCAGCGCUGUAUUAUUUGAAUCACUCGUCUUCUGGGUAACCGAAGCGAGGAUCGCCUUAUCUGUCAUCUGAUUUUUCUGAUAUCUGAUCUGUCUGAUAUGCACCCUCAUGGGUGAUCUGAUUAUCUGUCCGCACCCUAAACGGGUGGUCAGUGCGAGGUCCUCUUGAGGAAAGCUCCGCCUCUGCAUUGCAUCUGAUUCUGUUCCUGAUCUGCCCUGUGUAUCCUAUUUUUUCCACUAAGCACCUAAUGGGGCUUUAUUUGUGACUUGAAAUGUGAUGAUUUUUUUGUGAUUUGUCCGUGUUGAUGUCUGUGACUA